GAGUUUGAUCAUGGCUCAGAACGUACGCUGGCGGCACGCCUAACACAUGCAAGUCGAACGAAGUAGCAAUACUUAGUGGCAGACGGGUGAGUAACAUGUAGGUAUCUGCCCUUUGGCCUGGAAUAACACGAGGAAACUUGUGCUAAUACCGGAUAAGUCUUUACGGAGAAAGCUUUAUGCACCAUUGGAUGAGCCUGCACUUGAUUAGUUUGUUGGUGGGGUAAUGGCCUACCAAGACUGUGAUCAAUAGCUGAUUUGAGAGGAUGAUCAGCCACAUUGGGACUGAGACACGGCCCAAACUCCUACGGGAGGCAGCAGUGGGGAAUCUUGCACAAUGGAGGAAACUCUGAUGCAGCGAUGCCGCGUGAGUGAAGAAGGCCUUUGGGUUGUAAAGCUCUUUCGUCGGGGAAGAAAAUGACUGUACCCGAAUAAGAAGGUCCGGCUAACUUCGUGCCAGCAGCCGCGGUAAUACGAAGGGACCUAGCGUAGUUCGGAAUUACUGGGCUUAAAGAGUUCGUAGGUGGUUGAAAUAGUUGGUGGUGAAAUCCCAGAGCUUAACUCUGGAACUGCCAUCAAAACUUUUCAGCUAGAGUAUGAUAGAGGAAAGCAGAAUUUCUAGUGUAGAGGUGAAAUUCGUAGAUAUUAGAAAGAAUACCAAUUGCGAAGGCAGCUUUCUGGAUCAUUACUGACACUGAGGAACGAAAGCAUGGGUAGCGAAGAGGAUUAGAUACCCUCGUAGUCCAUGCCGUAAACGAUGUGUGUUAGACGUUGGAAAUUUAUUUUCAGUGUCGCAGGGAAACCGAUAAACACACCGCCUGGGGAGUACGACCGCAAGGUUAAAACUCAAAUGAAUUGACGGGGACCCGCACAAGUAGUGGAGCAUGUGGUUUAAUUCGAAGAUACGCGCAGAACCUUACCAACACUUGACAUGUUCGUCGCGACUCUAAGAGAUUAGAGUUUUCGGUUCGGCCGGACGAAACACAGGUGCUGCAUGGCUGUCGUCAGCUCGUGUCGUGAGAUGUUGGGUUAAGUCCCGCAACGAGCGCAACCCUCACUUUUAGUUGCCAUCAUUAAGUUGGGCACUCUGAAAGAACUGCCAGUGAUAAGCUGGAGGAAGGUGGGGAUGACGUCAAGUCCUCAUGGCCCUUACGUGUUGGGCUACACACGUGCUACAAUGGUAUCUACAACAGGAAGCAAGACUGCGAAGUUAAGCAAAUCCCUAAAAGAUACCUCAGUUCGGAUUGCACUCUGCAACUCGAGUGCAUGAAGCUGGAAUUACUAGUAAUCGUGGAUCAGCGUGCCACGGUGAAUGCGU
rnacentral:rRNA from 1 species